AGGGAAUCUUCCGCAAUGGACGAAAGUCUGACGGAGCAACGCCGCGUGAGUGAUGAAGGUUUUCGGAUCGUAAAGCUCUGUUGCCAGGGAAGAACGUCUUGGAGAGUAACUGCUCUAAGAGUGACGGUACCUGAGAAGAAAGCCCCGGCUAACUACGUGCCAGCAGCCGCGGUAAUACGUAGGGGGCAAGCGUUGUCCGGAAUUAUUGGGCGUAAAGCGCGCGCAGGCGGCUGUUUAAGUCUGGUGUUUAAUCCUGGGGCUCAACCCCGGGUCGCACUGGAAACUGGGCAGCUUGAGUGCAGAAGAGGAGAGUGGAAUUCCACGUGUAGCGGUGAAAUGCGUAGAGAUGUGGAGGAACACCAGUGGCGAAGGCGACUCUCUGGGCUGCAACUGACGCUGAGGCGCGAAAGCGUGGGGAGCAAAC
rnacentral:rRNA from 1 species